UGCUGCGGUCGCUGCUACGCGGAAAGGCACAACCCCGGCAGCAAGUGCUGUGCAGACUGUUAAGAAGGUUGUGGGUGUGGUUUGCACACAAAGGCCUAGCGCCGAGCUGGGCCCAGCGCCAAAUCUCGGCAGCCAAAGCCUGGCCGUGGGGGCAGUUUCCUCCCGCAGCAUUUUUCGGGCGCAAGGAACGUGGCUCGUAUCCUUAACUUCUUAUCCUGAACUGGCCACCUGGAGAGAAGGUGUCUCGUGAAGAAGCCCGGGCCGCGGGCUGGCUCGCACACCGUAACUUCCAACAUGGACAUCGCCGCAUCGCCUUGGCAACGCCGGGGCUUCACGCGUAAUCACCGCAAGAAAGCAAACCCUGCCCCAGUAUAAACGAAAGCGAAUACACGAUGCCUUCUGCAGCGACUCCGCACUCGGCAGACACUCCUGUAUGCCUAAAUUCACUCCGAAGGGCUAGCGUAUACGCGCUUAGCGGGCUUUACUCACACAAGCACGUGCACGGCUUUCACACGUGAUACUGAACUUCGUUCCGCCUCAGCGCUGUCUAGCGCUAUCCGGAGCGCCUUUUGAACCGGGUUAAAGAAAAAAAAAACGCAUCAAUUACCCGCUAUUAACAGCGGUACAGAUUCUGAUUUUCCACAGACAAUUGAAUCUGUCGCGGCAUGUGUGUGAACUGGCUUGUACUUUUCUGCUUCGCAUAUAAAAAGUUCUUUUAAAAGUCCUCAUACAACAUUGUCAAAGACUGCUAUAUUAAACAGGUGGAUGUUCAUACUUGGAGGUACUAGCUGAAUGAAUAGAAUAACCCCUCCUCCCAGGAAGAGUGUGCCAGAUAUUGAGUAACACCGAGGUAAGGUCCGGAGGAGAA